rnacentral:lncRNA from 1 species
CUUUGAAUACAUCCUGGAUCCAGAAGCCAAGAAGCCAGAUAACUGGAAGGAGGCUAUGGAUGGGGAGUGGGAAAGGCCUCUGAUGCCAAAUCCGAAGUAUAAGGACCUAAGAGAAGCAAUGGAGAGAACUUUAUGAAGAAAUUGAAAAAAGAAAGCAGGCAGAAGAGGCCAAGAAGUAAAAGGAAACGGAUGAAGAAAAGGAAGAUGGCAUUUGGGGAAUUGAAGAAGAGGGAAAUGAAUUGGAUCCCACUACAGAGCCAGGAAAUGACAGGGAGAUGCAGGAACAUGAUGCUGACAGAGUGUUUCUGGGUAAAAAUGAGGAAGUCCUUGUUGACCAGAAGGGUGAACUGUAACUGGGAUUGUGGAGGCAAAUGUUAGGAGGAGAAAUAUUCAUGAGGUUGGUACAAUUUGGGGAGCAAAAUAACUUACUUUUUUGAAAUAAACUUUGGAUUUGUAUUUCCAUCCCGCUCCCUUUGCUCUGUGUGACCUGGGGAAAGUCACACUGCCUCUUGGGGCUUCUGUUUCCUUAUUAGUAGAAAGGGAGUGAUCAUUUCUGUUUUAUGAGGUUGUAGGGAUUAAAUGAACUAAUGUAUGUAAAGUGCCUGAUACAAAUAGGUAGUCAAAAAAUGGUUGCUAUCACUACUAUCAUUAUUAUGGUGUUUAUGAAAUUAGUUAUCAGUAAAUAAACUUCUGUAUAAACUUAAUCCUCACUUUCAAUUUAUCCCAGGACACCCAA